rnacentral:rRNA from 1 species
GACGAACGCUGGCGGCGUGCCUAAUACAUGCAAGUCGAACGCAGUGGGGACGGGUGAGUAACACGUGGGUAACCUCCCAUCAGAGGGGAUAACACUUGGAAACAGGUGCUAAACCGAUACUGAUGGAUGGACCCGCGGUGCAUUAGCUAGUUGGUGAGGUAACGGCUUACCAAGGCGAUGAUGCAUAGCCGACCUGAGAGGGUGAUCGGCCACAUUGGGACUGAGACACGGCCCAGACUCCUACGGGAGGCAGCAGUAGGGAAUCUUCGGCAAUGGACGAAAGUCUGAUGGAGCAACGCCGCGUGAGUGAAGAAGGUUUUCGGAUCGUAAAGCUCUGUUGUUAGUGAAGCGGUAUUUAACCAGAAAGCCACGGCUAACUACGUGCCAGCAGCCGCGGUAAUAC